CUUAAGUUUUUUGUCUGUCCUUGGACCACUGGGAAUUGCCAGAAGGAAAUUUUCUUUGACUCCCUAGCAUAGAUAUGGCAUUUUCACAGACUUCAAAGACGUUCCUGUGUGGCAUAGUGCAGGAACAGGUCACACACUGUUAUGGCUGGUAUUCACUCAUUGUCCUCAUCACUGGCUGCUUUAGAAAAUUCUUAUUUAACAGCGUCAAUUUUUCUAAGAGAUAUUGACUAUUUAGAAGACGUAUUAAAUUAAGGUAUAUACAUGGAAGACAUAGGAUGACAAGAAAAGAGCCCUAAAUAUAAAGUUAGAGGGCCUAGGAAGAUUAGCCCUGAGCUAACAUCUGCCACCAAUCCUCCACUUUUUGCUGAGGAAGACUGGUCCUGAGCUAACAUCUGUGCCCAUCUUCCUCUACUUUAUAUGUGGGACACCUACCACAGCAUGGCUUGCCAAGCGAUGUGUAGGUCUGCACCGGGGAUCCUGACUGGCGAACCCUGGGUCACUGGAGCAGAUUGUGUGAACUUAACUGCUGCCCCACCGGGGUGGCCUCCUUAUAUGUUAUUUAAUAUAGAAUCAUCAAUAAAAAUUAUAGAGAUACCAGAAAAUGUAUAUAGAUAAUGACAAAGUGUAUAUUCUUAAGUUUAAUGAUUUUUUAUUUAAAUUUAAAAACACACAUCCAAUAUUACUGAUUUUACUGUAGUUCUAUAUAGCCACUUUUGGGAUAGAUUAUUGAAUAAAGAUAAUCUCUCUUUGAUGAGCAAAUAUUUACCAUUAUACAGUAAACCAUUCUUAAAUAUGUUUUUGUAUUGCAACUUCCUGUUAAAAUUGGGGAAGUCAAAAUUUGCGUGUCUGUGUGUGUUGUGGGUGUUUUAUAUGUGUCAGUGAAAUUAGGUUUAACUUGUAACUUAUGUGUGUGUUAAAUAAUUUGCCUAUUUGUUUCCUCCUCAUUUUGUGUUUUUAAUGGAUUUCAUUAGUUUUGGAAGAAAUAAUACAUUCUGAGUGAAUUCAGUGAUUUGGAAUCAAGAUUUAUUUACACAAAUCAUUUUAU
rnacentral:lncRNA from 1 species